rnacentral:rRNA from 1 species
UGGGGAAUAUUGCACAAUGGGCGCAAGCCUGAUGCAGCCAUGCCGCGUGUAUGAAGAAGGCCUUCGGGUUGUAAAGUACUUUCAGCGGGGAGGAAGGGAGUAAAGUUAAUACCUUUGCUCAUUGGCGUUACCCGCAGAAGAAGCACCGGCUAACUCCGUGCCAGCAGCCGCGGUAAUACGGAGGGUGCAAGCGUUAAUCGGAAUUACUGGGCGUAAAGCGCACGCAGGCGGUUUGUUAAGUCAGAUGUGAAAUCCCCGGGCUCAACCUGGGAACUGCAUCUGAUACUGGCAAGCUUGAGUCUCGUAGAGGGGGGUAGAAUUCCAGGUGUAGCGGUGAAAUGCGUAGAGAUCUGGAGGAAUACCGGUGGCGAAGGCGGCCCCCUGGACGAAGACUGACGCUCAGGUGCGAAAGCGUGGGGAGCAAACAGG